rnacentral:lncRNA from 1 species
GGAACCAUUUAUCCUAUAAUACUUCAUAGCGACAUGGAAGCUAAAAGAUGACAACUUUAAUUUUGAAAGAGACAUGAGUUGGCUUCAUGGUGACGGUAGCCAGCUACAUUGGUGUAUUUUCGACUUGCUAUAGCGACAAUUCUUAGAAACUUCAUUCAGUCCAUAUAACAUUUUGCUUCCUUUCUGACUCUUCUAUAGAUGAAAAUCAUACUGGAAUGCCAAUGUCAGGGAUUCCAUUGCGAUCAAUAUAGCUUAGAUUGCUCUUCACCAUAUCCCUGCCGCUCUUCUCACUUGUAUUUUUCCCUGGGACACCAUGUGCCCUUUAUGUACUUUGUAUUCUGUCCAACAUGCUUUUCUUUUUCUGGCCAAUUAGCAGGAGGGUUUCUAUAGUUAAUCUUUUCAUGAUGAAGAAACUACCUGUGUGUUUAAUAAAUGAAGUACUUUCGGAUGCUUUCUCGUGUAUAUUCGCCCAUCUGGCUAAUUACUAGGGGUGUGCAUGGUCCGGGCGGGCGAUUCCCGACCUAGAACCGGGAACCGCCUGCUAAGGACCGGUUCUGAAAAAUCGGAACCGGGAUCCACCUGUCUAUUGCAUGGAUCCACUCGGGAACCGGACCGGACCGGCGGUCCGGUUCCCGAGUGGAUCCAUGGAACCGAUUUUGACGCCAAAAAUUCUGGUUUUCAACAGCGAAACAAUUUUGGUUUCCCGGACCGCUGGUCCAGAAGUUUUGAGCUCUAAAAUUCCAAGUUCCAAUCUCCAAAAACUAAACAAUAAUUAAUAGACGAAUAAUAGACUAAUGCGAAGGGACGGACAGCAGUGGCAGAGGAGCAACGGCGGCGGCGUCGAGGCUCAGGGAGGAAUCAAAGAUGAAGGGAUUGAGCGUCAGUGAGGGGGGCGGACAGCAGAGGCGGAGGAGCAGCAAUUGUGGCGACUGGCGACUGGCGCGAGGGGGCAGACAGUGGCGGAGGAGGAGCAGCGGCGGCGGCGUGGAUGCUUGGUGAGGAAUCGAAGACGAGGAGAAGAGAUUGAGGAAGAAACAGAGAGAUAAUCAAAGACUGAGGAAGAAAUCAGAAGAGAAUCAAGAGAUGAGACACGAAUUAGGGCUUCGUAUCUUGUUGAGUGACGGAAAAGGGGCUCGCCGGCUCGGUUGAGAGUUCUUGCAGAGGCGGAGGAGCAGCGGUUGUGGUGAGUGGUGACCGGCGCGAGGGGGCGGAUAGUGGCGGAGGAGGAGCAGCGGUGGUGGCGUGGAUACUCGGGGUGGAACUGUGGAAUCGAAGACGAAGAGAAGGAAAGGAACAGAGAUAAUCGAAGUCUGAAGAAGAAGAAACGCGAAUUAGGGCUUCGCGAAUUAGGGGCAGGAGGCUUCGCGACUUUUUUUUUUUUUUUAAUUAUAAAUAGUACCGGUCCGGUCCGAGUGGGCGGGCGGGCGGAUCCGCCCACGGAACCGGGAACCGGACCGGUUCCCACCGAUUCUCAACAAUUGGACCCGGGAACCGGACCGGUUCCCUCAAGAACCGCCGGUUCCGGGCGGUUUCGGUCCUGUUCCGGGUGGUCCGGGCGGUUCCCGGGUCCAAUGCACACCCCUACUAAUUACUGGGUAAAAUACCAACAAUUAGCUGUAAAGUUUUCUAU